GGGCGACGGCGACCCCGAAAGGGCGAAGGGUCCCCAAAGGGUGACGCUGUCCCCCAAAGGGUGAAGCAUUCCCCAAAGGGUGACGUUGUCCCCAAAGGGCAAAGGGUUCCCCCAGGGGGCGACGGUGACCCCAAAAGGGUGAAGGGUCCCCAAAGGGUGACGCCGUCCCCGACAGGGCGAAGGGUUCCCCCAGAGGGUGACGCCGUCCCCAAAAGGGUGCCACCAUCCCCGGGGAUGGCGUUCCCCAAAAGGGUGAAGGGUCCCCAAAAGGGUGACGUUGUCCCCAAAAGGGUGAAGCAUUCCCCAAAGGGUGACAUUGUCCCCAAAGGGUGACGCCGUCCCCGAAAGGGCGAAGGGUUCCCCCAGAGGGUGACGCCGUCCCCAAAAGGAUUCCACCAUCCCCGGUGACGCUGUCCCCAAAAGGGUGAAGCGUCCCCAAAGGGUGACACCGUCCCCAAAAGGGUGAAGCAUUCCCCAAAGGGUGACGUUGUCCCCAAAGGGCGAAGGGUUCCCCCAGAGGGUGACGCCGUCCCCAAAAGGGUGCCACCAUCCCCGGGGACGGCGUCCCCCAAAAGGGUGAAGGGUUCCCCCAGGGGGCGACGGCGACCCCGAAAGGGCGAAGGGUCCCCAGAGGGUGACGCCGUCCCCGAAAGGAUUCCACCAUCCCCAGUGACACCGUCCCCGAAAGGGUGAAGGGUCCCCAAAGGGUGACACCGUCCCCAAAAGGGCGAAGGGUCCCCAAAGGGUGAUGUUGUCCCCAAAGGGCGAAGGGUUCCCCCAAAGGGUGACGCCAUCCCCGAAAGGGUGCCACCAUCCCCGGGGAUGGCGUCCCCAAAAGGGUGAAGGGUCCCCAAAAGGGUGAAGGGUCCCCAAAGGGUGACGCCGUCCCCGAAAGGAUUCCACCAUCCCCAGUGACACUGUCCCCAAAAGGGUGAAGGGUCCCCAAAGGGGUGACACCAUCCCCAAAAGGGCGAAGGGUCCCCAAAGGGUGACGCCGUCCCCAAAAGGGCGCCACCACCCCUGGGGACAGCGUCCCCAAAAGGGUGAAGCGUUCCCCAAAAGGGUGACGCUGUCCCCAAAAGGGUGACGCCGUCCCCAAAAGGGUGAAAGGUCCCCAAAAAGGGUGAAAGGUCCCCAAAAGGGUGACGCCGUCCCCAAAAGGGUGAAAGGUCCCCAAAAAGGGUGAAAGGUCCCCAAAAGGGUGACGCCGUCCCCAAAAGGGUGAAAGGUCCCCAAAAAGGGUGAAAGGUCCCCAAAAGGGUGACGCCGUCCCCAAAGGGUGAAAGGUCCCCAAAGGGUGAAAGGUCCCCAAAAGGGUGACGCCGUCCCCAAAGGGUGAAAGGUCCCCAAA